ACGACAGUUUUACUGAAUAUCCUGGGAGAUGAUGGACGGACCGGGUACAUAGGGAAUCCUACCGUGAACGUUGUCUCAUACCGGAUGGAGUAUGGAGACUUGAUAAUUUGGCACUCAUACCGGAUAGGGUAUGAGAACGGCCCGCUUUACCCUCAUACCGGACGGGGUAUUGAGCUUUAGUAAAUUAGUGUUCAUACUGGACGGGGUAUGAGGACGGUCCAUAAUUGAGAAUGAUAAAUGAAAGGGUUCACGUGUAGU
rnacentral:lncRNA from 1 species